CCCGUACAGCCAACUCGUGCUUGCAGGACUUCUCGUGCGCAGCUCCAUUCCUAUGGAAUAGCUUGCCUACCUCCAUCUGACUCUUGCCGAGUCUUCAAUCGUUUACAAAGUGCCUUAAAACCUCUCUCUUUAGGAAUGCUUAUGGCCUCCCAGAGUAACCUCUACCUCACAUACCUGUCUCUUGCUCUCUCCUCCAGCUCUGCUUCACUCCCACCUUAUUUGAUUGCUAUUUCCUGUCCUAAUGUGUUUUAAAUCCCACCUCCUAUAGACUGUAAGGUCAUUUGAGCAGGGUCCUCUUCAACCUAUCGUUCCUGUAAGGUUUCCUGUAAUUGUCCUAUUUAUAGUUAAAUCCCCCCUAUUAUAAUAUUGUAAAGUGCUACGGAAUCUGUUGGCGCUAUAUAAAUGGCGAUAAUCAUAAUAAUAAUAACGAUCUAGCAACGCAAAAUAUCUUAUUCUCC